rfam:Singulisphaera acidiphila DSM 18658, complete genome.
CCCAGGGCUUGCACCCUGGGCUAGAAACGGUCGCCCCUCCGGGGCU